UUGUAUAGCUUUACGCUACUGUAGAUCUAGAUUAGAUCUAAAUAAAAGUAUUUGUGUUCAAAAUUGUUUCGUUAAAUAGUAAACUUUGCGAGGAUUAUUGAUUCAUAAAAAUAAUACAUUGUGAUUGUGUAGAAAACUUUAAAGAUGCAAAGAGAGCCUCAAUUAUGGCAUUUGAUUUGAAUGAUAUCUCUGUUAUACCCUUAGGGACUGUGUAAUGGAAAAAAGGACCUCCAGAGGAAGAGACUCAGCUGCCUUGAAAAACACCAUUGCAGAAAUCGGCCACAGUCUCUAUGCCUUCAAAGUUCUUAAAGAGUUAUGACCUGCUUAAAUCUUGAUAUGAAAUGUGUUGCAAAAGAUUGAA
rnacentral:sRNA from 1 species